GACGGUUUGACCGAGUGGUCUAAGGCGCCAGAUUUAGGCUCUGGUUCGAAAGGGCGUGGGUUCAAAAUCCCACAGUCGUUA
rnacentral:tRNA from 1 species